AGCUCAGCUGGUUAGAGCACUAGUUUGUGGCACUAGGGGUCGUGGGUUCGAAUCCCAUC
rnacentral:tRNA from 1 species